rnacentral:lncRNA from 1 species
AGAUUCAUGUCUCACAACUCAGGAAAACACAAUCAAAAUUUUGUGUUCAAUGAUGAACUUGCUUGAGAAACAGAACACUUUACCCACCAAAAGUUCAUACAAACGCUGACCCUAUCACACCAUGUAUUCUACACAUGACAAAAGAUAAUAUGAAAAUACCAGAUAUGCUAUAAUUGAAGUUGUCAGUUCAUGUUGUCUUAUAAGCAAAGUCUGUAACCCAUCAUAAUUUGGGGCUCCAUGUUUGCAAUUACUGCUCCGUAACCCUGAUGUGACGGCGCCCCCGGGGCCGGUGCCGGUGAAGAUAGACCACGACGAUGUUGACAUCGUCAUGGAAGUGGUACCUUGCCGUCUUCACGUCAUGUACACUCGCCUCUCUCUUCCUUUUGGCUCUCUUCAAGGCAUAGCUCGCUAACCAUUCCUGAUUUCUUGCUUGGUCCUGUACAUGUCUACCAUAUUGUAGUUCAAGUUUCUGAUGUACACAUGUUCCAGCCACAAACAUGUAACCAAACCACCAUCAUAAACUGUUUACGUAAACAUGGAUCAAGUAUCUAAAACUUUAUUUUUUCAAGGGAAGUAUCUACAAUCGUCGCUCAAGCAAAGAAUUAAGUGAUGCAAACUAAAGGGAAACAAGGGUCAUAUUCUGAAAGAAGUGGUACACAACAAAGGCAAAGAUUAUAUAUUUAACAUAGACGAUUUUUCUCGUAGCUAGGGUAGAGGAGAAAUAUUAUAUUUAUUUGAUUAAGUUUUAGAGAGGGAGUGGGCCAUGAAUUCUUCAAGCAGAAUUCACCAAUAUAUAAAAUACAGUUUGAAGGUUUCCCAAGACAUUGGUUAUCUUGUUGCAAAAACUGGAAUAGAGCAAGCACAAACUAAGGUAGAGAAAAAAGAACAAUAGAUAUGCUACCUGCAGGCUGCAGCAGUUGUAGCAUGGAGCCGACUGUCAGCAUGGAUGAGUUCACAGCAGCGGUGCAGGGUAGAAGAGAUCCUGGCUCAGGCGGAAGGACCCCCGGCGGCGGCGUUAAAAGGAUACCAUUGGUUGUAUGUAGCAUCUCAAUUCUUCUUUUUUGCUUGCUUUGUUUCGCCCUAUUUUUGUUGUUGCUCGCAGAAGCACGGAUUGCCAUGCAACGCCUGCAGAAGCAAUGGACAAACCAGAAUGAAUAACCAAGAAUGUGAAGGUACACUGCGAUGGGCGAGUGGAUAAGAAUCACUGACCUGUAGUGGCACAAGCCUCUGAAUCAAAGAAAUUGGCUAGGCAGUGACCAGGAUGACAAGAGAGGUGGCGCAGCGGCCUACAUCAUCCUCAUGCUCUGCACAGUUCCUACAAAACCAUCAACAAGGUUAUGAGGCCAUGAAACCCAAAAUUAUUUUGUCCUGCGAAUUGACGGCACCAAUAACCAUGAAACCUCAUUCCUAGAAGAGGAUCAACAAUUAGAAAGCUAGAUCUCAACAACAACAACAUAACAUAUUCUUCCAUAUCGAAGAACUAAGUUUGUUAAUUCUGAAUCAAUGCUCUUCCAAAAUCACUAAAUCUCACACAAGAGCACUCACGACAAAUCACUAAAUCAAAUGUGACGUGUUAAUCCAACUCAAGACAUAUGUGCAAUUGAAUCAUGGUAACAAAAUUAUCUUUUCAUUUAUACAUGCAAGGCUCGCCCUAUCUAUUAGUUGCUUCUUCUGAAUCCCCUCCUAUCAAGUGCUUUCUCUGAAUAAAAACCACUAUUAUGUUUUCUGCAUCAUAUUGUACGGCACUGAACCAAGCAAAUGAAAUUAACAAUGUAAUGAGCCAUUGCCCUUUUAGUAAGGUAAAUAUCCCUACGACUAUGACCAAUAGCAGGCACCAAAGUAAACAUCUAUGAAGAACUGUACGCACACUAAGAAAGGCACUAAGAAAUUGCUAAUACAAAAACCAAAAUACUGAUCCGAUCUCGAUCUCUAAUUACAAUUGCAGCACACAUUUGACAAUAUAUUUCUACCAAGGAUUAUCUUUGUUUUGCAUAAUAAAGUAAUUCUACACUUGGAAUGUGUCGAUACAUCAACAUAUAUUUUUUUAUGCCAGUACAACGGUUCUGAAUCCAUUCGACAACAAACAAUACCUAAAAUGCAUCAAACCUAAGUAAAAUAAAUGGGGGAGGGGUGCUACCUGAACACCGAGGAAACCUGCAGCAAACCGAACCACUGCCGGCUGUAAAGGUGAGGCAGAAUCAACACCAAGAUCUAUACCUGCAAAACAAAUUAGGCAGCACACAAACAAUAAAUCAAUUUUUGAUCCCCUGUCACAUGCUAAAACUUUCUAAAAGGGUAGGAACAUC